UGUAUAGUGAAAACAAUCUUGCAUCAAAUGUUUUAUGCUUUGUGUAGAACAUUUUGUUGAAUUGCACUGGUCAUAUGAUAUCUUUUUAGUUGUCGGGGGAACUGUUCUUCAUAAUGUCUAGGACUAAAUGAGAUGUAAGGAUCCAUGACUUUAUUCAAAACGUUUCACGCAGUAUGAUAAAAUAUUACUUCUAUUUUCCUCUUUUCAUGAGCUUUUGAGAGACUGAGAGUCUGAAACAUUCAUGUGUCCCGAAAAAAAUGUAUCGUGAAAACAAUCUUUCUAAACAUGGCUGAAGCUUGAAAAUUUCGUCUGCCACAGGCUGAGGUUAAAAAUCUUUCAUAUUGUUUCUGAAUAUGACAUAACACUGAAUAAUUUUGCCUCUGUUGAAUCUGCAGAAGCGUUUAGAGUCCCUAACAGAAGCAGAGCUACAAGCACUGCUUGAAGAAGUUGAGGAAGAGAAGAGACGCUAGCUAGUGGUGCGCAGGUGAACAGAAGUAGCUUGUUUGUAUAUAUAUAUACACUGAAAUUUUGCCAAACUCAUUGAAACAGAAAUUUGAAUCUAUAUGGAAAUGGAAACUAGUUCAGAGAGGUUUUAGCUAUGUUUUCUUCAGUUUACUCACGGACAAAGGGACGAGAGUUCAAAAUUCUUAAGAUGUGUUUAUAAUAGAAGUCAUAAACGAGGAAAAUUGUGUUUCUGAUACUGAUAAAGAUCAUGGAAAGUGGUAGAGUUGACAAUCGUAAUCGUGGAUAAAGCUAUCAUUUGAUGUUUCUUAAUCAUUGAAACAUGAAAUUGGAUGGAAAUGACGACAUUUCACGUAACCUGCAGGGAUGGGGCGAACUUGUUUUUUUAACAGCUAAUGCUGAUAAGGUUGAUCACUUUAACUUAUUUAAUUAAUACGAAAGCUAUAUUGUUAAAUUCACACAUUUAAUUUUGGAAAAUUCUCUGUUUCUUUUUA